rnacentral:rRNA from 1 species
AGCGAACGCUGGCGGCAGGCCUAACACAUGCAAGUCGAACUACCCCUUCGGGGUUAGUGGCGGACGGGUGAGUAACACGUGGGAACGUGCCUUUAGGCUCGGAAUAACUCAGGGAAACGUGUGCUAAUACCGAAUGUGCCCUUCGGGGGAAAGAUUCGUCGUCCCUAGAUGGGCCCGCGUCUGAUUAGCUAGUUGGGUGAGGUAAUGGCUACCCAAGGCGACGAUCAGUAGGUGGUCUAUGAGGAUGAUCCGCCACAUUGGGACUGAGACACGGCCCAGACUCCUACGCGAAGCGGCAAUGGGUGAUCUUGCGCUAUCGGCUAAAGCCUGACGCCGCCAUGCCGCGUGAAUGAUGAAGUUCUUAGAGAUGUGCAACUCUUUCACCCGGGACUAUAAUGACGGUACCCGAAGAAUAAGCCCCGGCUAACUUCGUG